CAGAUGGGAGUGAGGCCUGGCUUACUUGUGACGAAGACCUCUACUACAGCGAGGACGAGAUUGAGGAGGAGCUGGCGAGGCAAAGCCCCAUGGAGAUGCCUGUUCCAGAACAGGACCGAUGCAGCUUUGGGCCACCCGUUGCCAUUUUAACUCACUGCGAGAAGGAAUGGAAAGGGCAGACCACCGAAAGCACGG